rnacentral:rRNA from 1 species
UACAGAGGGUGCGAGCGUUAAUCGGAAUUACUGGGCGUAAAGCGCACGUAGUCGGCUUUGCAAGUCGGUUGUGAAAUCCCCGGGCUCAACCUGGGAACUGCAUCCGAGACUGUAUUGCUAGAGUAUGGGAGAGGGAAGCGGAAUUUCUGGUGUAGCAGUGAAAUGCGUAGAUAUCAAGUGGAACACCGGUGGCGAAGGCGGCUCUCUGGUCCAUUUCUGACGCUGAGGUGCGAAAGCUAGGGGAGCAAACGGG